rnacentral:tRNA from 1 species
CAAUGAAUUUAAGAUUUAUGUAUAAAAUUAUUAUUUUUGUUAGAA